rnacentral:rRNA from 5 species
UUAAGCGACUAAGCGUACACGGUGGAUGCCCUGGCAGUCAGAGGCGAUGAAGGACGUGCUAAUCUGCGAAAAGCGUCGGUAAGGUGAUAUGAACCGUUAUAACCGGCGAUGUCCGAAUGGGGAAACCCAGUGCAAUUCGUUGCACUAUCGUUAACUGAAUACAUAGGUUAACGAGGCGAACCGGGGGAACUGAAACAUCUAAGUACCCCGAGGAAAAGAAAUCAACCGAGAUUCCCCCAGUAGCGGCGAGCGAACGGGGAGCAGCCCAGAGUCUGAAUCAGCUUGUGUGUUAGUGGAACGGUCUGGAAAGUCCGACGGUACAGGGUGAUAGUCCCGUACACCAAAAUGCACAGGCUGUGAACUCGAAGAGUAGGGCGGGACACGUGGUAUCCUGUCUGAAUAUGGGGGGACCAUCCUCCAAGGCUAAAUACUCCUGACUGACCGAUAGUGAACCAGUACCGUGAGGGAAAGGCGAAAAGAACCCCGGCGAGGGGAGUGAAAAAGAACCUGAAACCGUGUACGUACAAGCAGUGGGAGCACCUUCGGGUGUGACUGCGUACCUUUUGUAUAAUGGGUCAGCGACUUAUAUUCUGUAGCAAGGUUAACCGUAUAGGGGAGCCGCAGGGAAACCGAGUCUUAACUGGGCGUUAAGUUGCAGGGUAUAGACCCGAAACCCGGUGAUCUAGCCAUGGGCAGGUUGAAGGUUGGGUAACACUAACUGGAGGACCGAACCGACUAAUGUUGAAAAAUUAGCGGAUGACUUGUGGCUGGGGGUGAAAGGCCAAUCAAACCGGGAGAUAGCUGGUUCUCCCCGAAAGCUAUUUAGGUAGCGCCUCGUGAACUCAUCUUCGGGGGUAGAGCACUGUUUCGGCUAGGGGGUCAUCCCGACUUACCAACCCGAUGCAAACUACGAAUACCGAAGAAUGUUAUCACGGGAGACACACGGCGGGUGCUAACGUCCGUCGUGAAGAGGGAAACAACCCAGACCGCCAGCUAAGGUCCCAAAGUCAUGGUUAAGUGGGAAACGAUGUGGGAAGGCACAGACAGCCAGGAUGUUGGCUUAGAAGCAGCCAUCAUUUAAAGAAAGCGUAAUAGCUCACUGGUCGAGUCGGCCUGCGCGGAAGAUGUAACGGGGCUAAACCAUGCACCGAAGCUGCGGCAGCGACACUAUGUGUUGUUGGGUAGGGGAGCGUUCUGUAAGCCUGCGAAGGUGUGCUGUGAGGCAUGCUGGAGGUAUCAGAAGUGCGAAUGCUGACAUAAGUAACGAUAAAGCGGGUGAAAAGCCCGCUCGCCGGAAGACCAAGGGUUCCUGUCCAACGUUAAUCGGGGCAGGGUGAGUCGACCCCUAAGGCGAGGCCGAAAGGCGUAGUCGAUGGGAAACAGGUUAAUAUUCCUGUACUUGGUGUUACUGCGAAGGGGGGACGGAGAAGGCUAUGUUAGCCGGGCGACGGUUGUCCCGGUUUAAGCAUGUAGGCUGAUUGUCCAGGCAAAUCCGGAUAAUCAAGGCUGAGGUGUGAUGACGAGGCACUACGGUGCUGAAGUAACAAAUGCCCUGCUUCCAGGAAAAGCCUCUAAGCAUCAGGUAACAUUAAAUCGUACCCCAAACCGACACAGGUGGUCAGGUAGAGAAUACCAAGGCGCUUGAGAGAACUCGGGUGAAGGAACUAGGCAAAAUGGUGCCGUAACUUCGGGAGAAGGCACGCUGGUGUGUAGGUGAAGUCCCUGCGGAUGGAGCUGAGACCAGUCGAAGAUACCAGCUGGCUGCAACUGUUUAUUAAAAACACAGCACUGUGCAAACACGAAAGUGGACGUAUACGGUGUGACGCCUGCCCGGUGCCGGAAGGUUAAUUGAUGGGGUUAUCCGUAAGGAGAAGCUCUUGAUCGAAGCCCCGGUAAACGGCGGCCGUAACUAUAACGGUCCUAAGGUAGCGAAAUUCCUUGUCGGGUAAGUUCCGACCUGCACGAAUGGCGUAAUGAUGGCCAGGCUGUCUCCACCCGAGACUCAGUGAAAUUGAACUCGCUGUGAAGAUGCAGUGUACCCGCGGCAAGACGGAAAGACCCCGUGAACCUUUACUAUAGCUUGACACUGAACAUUGAGCCUUGAUGUGUAGGAUAGGUGGGAGGCUUUGAAGCGUGGACGCCAGUCUGCGUGGAGCCAACCUUGAAAUACCACCCUUUAAUGUUUGAUGUUCUAACGUUGGCCCCUGACCGGGGUUGCGGACAGUGUCUGGUGGGUAGUUUGACUGGGGCGGUCUCCUCCCAAAGCGUAACGGAGGAGCACGAAGGUUAGCUAAUCCUGGUC